CGCGAUUCAAACCCUGCGAUUCAAACCCAUUUCAACAGAAAUUUACAGUUUUGAUCUCAUUUCAAACGCAUGUGAUAGUUCUGCUGCUGCGUUUUCUCCAGGCAAUCGACAAUUAGUUAGAUCGAGAGAAUUAAAAAGCAUGAAAGACAAUAAUAAUACUAAUACUACCAACUGGCAGUUUUUUCAGGAGAAGCACAAGUUCCUGAUUCUGGCUUUAGCCGUACUCAUCACCGGCGCGCUGCUCCUUUCUACAUUCAUGUUAACCAUUAACAGCCCAAUCUUCUGUACAUUCUCCGCCUACGGAGCCGGACCUAUCAGCUCCAACUCAGGGAAGACCCAGCUCGAGACAAUCCUACAUUACGCCACGUCACGGGUGGUCCCACAACAAAUCAGACGCCAAGAUCAGAGAUUAAACAAUUGUCU
rnacentral:lncRNA from 1 species